UAAUGCAGUCGAGCGGACAGAUGGGAGCUUGCUCCCUGAUGUUAGCGGCGGACGGGUGAGUAACACGUGGGUAACCUGCCUGUAAGACUGGGAUAACUCCGGGAAACCGGGGCUAAUACCGGAUGCUUGUUUGAACCGCAUGGUUCAAACAUAAAAGGUGGCUUCGGCUACCACUUACAGAUGGACCCGCGGCGCAUUAGCUAGUUGGUGAGGUAAUGGCUCACCAAGGCGACGAUGCGUAGCCGACCUGAGAGGGUGAUCGGCCACACUGGGACUGAGACACGGCCCAGACUCCUACGGGAGGCAGCAGUAGGGAAUCUUCCGCAAUGGACGAAAGUCUGACGGAGCAACGCCGCGUGAGUGAUGAAGGUUUUCGGAUCGUAAAGCUCUGUUGUUAGGGAAGAACAAGUACCGUUCGAAUAGGGCGGUACCUUGACGGUACCUAACCAGAAAGCCACGGCUAACUACGUGCCAGCAGCCGCGGUAAUACGUAGGUGGCAAGCGUUGUCCGGAAUUAUUGGGCGUAAAGGGCUCGCAGGCGGUUUCUUAAGUCUGAUGUGAAAGCCCCCGGCUCAACCGGGGAGGGUCAUUGGAAACUGGGGAACUUGAGUGCAGAAGAGGAGAGUGGAAUUCCACGUGUAGCGGUGAAAUGCGUAGAGAUGUGGAGGAACACCAGUGGCGAAGGCGACUCUCUGGUCUGUAACUGACGCUGAGGAGCGAAAGCGUGGGGAGCGAACAGGAUUAGAUACCCUGGUAGUCCACGCCGUAAACGAUGAGUGCUAAGUGUUAGGGGGUUUCCGCCCCUUAGUGCUGCAGCUAACGCAUUAAGCACUCCGCCUGGGGGAGUACGGUCGCAAGACUGAAACUCAAAGGAA
rnacentral:rRNA from 1 species